rnacentral:lncRNA from 1 species
GAUGCACAUUUGCUGGAUCAAUUUCUUUUACAUUACAAAAAAAUGUUUUAUAUCCAGGCAGAAAAGGAGCUGAUGAAAUAUCAUCUGCCAUAAGAAGGACAAGAAAACCAUUUGCUCACAGCGCUUUCAUUGAGAAACACUGACAGCUGGAGCUCGCAUAGUGAGGCGGAGCAUUGCAGCAGGAUUUGCGGUCCUGUGGAUGCAUGUGUGAGCAGUUUUUAGAUGGAAUCACUCAGACAGAGGCUGAAACGGGUUCGUGGCGGACUGAUGUCGAAGACCAACUUCUCAACGCAGCUCGCACCAGGCGUUUCUGCAAGAAAAACAACACCGACAUGUGCACGCAAACGCCAAGCCCCUCAACCACUGCCACUCAGGUCAAACCCCUCAGAGUUUAUCUCCAUUCCAUUAUUUUUUGCACAGUCAUCAUUCAGUUCAUCAACAACAUUAGACAAGAUCUUUUAAAAGGCAUCUCCUUCUAAAUAGGUACCAAAUGAAAUAAGCAGCUAUUAUUUUUGUCUAGUCAAAUGCCUGCGAAUGGUUACCCCCUCCAGCUGGUUCUCCACAGAGAACGCAGAGUCAUUCUCUUACAAGGAAAGUUACAGAACUCUCCCCCUCAAAACACUUCACCAUUGAAUACACUCAGAUAAAGUCCCAAAUCCUUACCUGUCUGUGGCACGCUUUCCGUCCGUGUUCUCCAGUUUUUUUUGUGUUUUUUUAAAGAUUUUAUUUUUUUCCUUUUUCUCCCCAAAGCCCCCCGGUACAUAGUUGUAUAUUCUUCAUUGUAGGUCCUUCUAGUUGUGGCAUGUGGGACGCUGCCUUAGCGUGGUUUGAUGAGCAAUGCCAUGUCCGCGCUCAGGAUUCGAACCAAUGAAAACACUGGGUCGCCUGCAGCGGAGCGCACGAUCUUAACCACUCGGCCAUGGGCCAGCCUCGUGUGUUCUCCAGUUUUAAUGUGCACACAGGAUGGCAAGUGUGGGGCCACAAGAUCCUUGUGAUGCUGUUGCUGCUGCGAGUGGACGCACUUUGAGUUGAAGACCCUAGAUCAUCUGGUUCCUCAUGACCUUCCGCCCUCAUCACCCCACUUUCCCAGGUAAGACAGGGUUAAACCAAGAACACCACCUAUUCAAACUCCUGACCUCAAAAAAACAAACAAAAAAACCCCAUAAA